UCGUGUAUGUUCGGAGAAAAAUUCGGUCGUUUGACGUGAAUGACAAGAAUGACACGAAUGUUCCCGCUUUUUUUGCGUUUGUUGUUGGUUGUUUACUUUUGUAAAAAAGCUCCAACUAAUUUGAUCGAUUAUUGCGAUUAUCGCGAUUAUACUCAACUUUCCUUUGUUUCUUUGUGAAAUAUUGACCAUAUUGUUGCUUAUAGUGUUUUAAAAUAAUACCUGAAAAGCUGUAUUAAUUCCAAUUCAGCGAUUUUAGCUGUAAAGAUGGAUUCUAUUUAAAACCAUCAGAAUCAGGACCAAACUAUCAACAAAAAUAUGUGCCACUUAUGCAGUAAAAUGUUUUAUUCCAUUUCAGCUAAAAACAAACAUAUUAAGGUUAUUCAUAAGCAGCAGCUCCCAGAUAACCCAAAGUCACACAUUUCUUGUCCCUUAUGCAAAGAGAUUAAGUAUUCUUGUGAGACUUAUAAAAGACUUAAAGCUCAUUUACAGGUAAGUCAUGAUAUCAAAAUAGAGUCCUCAACUUUCCAUUUUUCCAGUGAAGAAAGAUUUGAGGAAUGGUUAAGAGAGCAUAAAAUAAGCACAAACUAUGCACUUGUUCGCACAAGGAAAAUUGAAGACAAGAUUGAAAAAGUAUAUUGUUGCAAUCAAAGCAAUUUUAGAGGUAAAUUUGUAGCAAUUUCAAUUCUAGCAAAGUAUUUAUUACAUACUGUACAUAUUCAUUGUACUAUUUAGUGAAGGAUUGUUAAACAUGUACUUAAUGUGUAGCUGGUGCAGGUAACAUUAUAUAGUCCUUUAGGGUAUCUACACAAGGGGCCUGGAUGAUCACCAGUAGCAUGGCUGUAAGCCUUAUUUUUGUAUUGUCUUUAUGGUGUGUGAGCAAAGGAAGAGAAGCGAUUCUGUUUUAGGGGAACUCCUUGGGGAAUGUUCUUCCAAUAAUAUUGAAGCUAGCCAUAGUCUAGAAAUUGAAAUGUUUGUUAAUGAGAAGACGACUGAAAAUCAACAAGUAGCAGUACAACGAUUGAACAAGCAAUCAACAAGAGAAAUUGAAAGCAUAUCAAACUUUUUAAGAUCUUUAAAUGAUGAAACUUAUGAUAAGUGCAUGAGACAACUGACAUGGAUGAUGGAACAAAUAAAUAAGACAAAUACAAGUAAAUGAAAAAUGGACAAACAAGUUUAUUUUCCAUCAAAAAAGAAGAAGGAGCAGUAAAUAAAAAUAAUAAAUUGUAUAUUUUUUUCUAAUUAUCAGUAUUUUUUUUAUAUAAUAGUAGGUAUAUUUUUAUAGGUUUAAGUAUGUAUGUAUACGUGUAUUAUAAUUUUUUAUGUAAGUUUUAGGCAAAUAUUUGAAAAAAGAUUACCUAUCUCAUAAGUUUCUUGUAGUUUCUUCUUAUGAGUAUUAAUCGAAACUGUGAAUUAUUGUAAAUUAGUAUUUUAGCAUAAAAUAAUUAAGUUUCUUUUCAAAUCAGUCAUAUACAUGUCUUUGCAGCAUUUAUAAAAUAAAACUUUUAAUAUAUGGUACAUUUAUAUAACAGUAUAACUAGUUAAA